rnacentral:rRNA from 1 species
AUGCGUUUUUUGUUGCUGCUUCUGCUGCCUUGCAUAUGCUUGGUUUGCUCCUUGCAUUCUCUUUGUUUUUCCUUGCUACAGAGCCCCGGAAACAGCACUAGCAAAUUCUCUCGUAUCCUCCCUGCUCGUACUAAAGCCCCCGCCGAUCCGAACCAACCGAAUUCCCCUCCCCCGCCCGCACAUCUGCCCCCGCUCCGCACCCCGAAAUCCCCCGCCCCUCCCCNNNNNNNNNNNNNNNNNNNNNNNNNNNNNNNNNNCUGGCCGACGCCAUGGCCUCGACGGGAUCCCCACCGCCGCCCUGCUCUCGGGGAGACCCCCGCCGCCGCCCUGCCGUCCAGCGGACCCCCACCGCCGCCAUGCCCGCGACGAGGUCCCCACCGCCGCCCUGCCCUACGGGCGUUCUCUACCGCCGCGCUUCUCUGCAGGCGAUCCCCACCGCCGCCAUGCCUGCGAGGAGGCCCCCAUCGACGCCCUGCCCUACGGGAGAUCCCUACCGCCGCGCUCUUCUGCGGGCGAGCCCCACCACCGCCCUGCUCUCCCGGAGUUCCCCGCCGCCGCCCAGGGAGAUCCCGGCGGCAGCCCUCCCCUCCGGCAAGACGCGGUUCUCGCCCGGUGAGUUCCAUUUCCUCGUCCCUACCUUUCCCCUCGCAAUCCGGUCGUCGAUUUGGAUGCGAGGUAGUCCGAGAUCCGUUCCUCGAUCCGUUCGCAGGCAGCGUGAUAUCCGUUCCGCUCGUGCGAGAUACUCUAGUUAUCCGUUCCUUAGUUCGAUUCCCGGUUCGUGUUCCAUUAGGGCUUAGCGAUUGGAUCUUGUGUUGUCGGUUCAGUCUUCUGUAUUGGAUCUCGGUUACUCAUUCAUCGGCAGUAGUUCAUGAGUUUGAAGGAUCUGUUAUUAUACUAGUUUUAAUCAUAUUACUGAUUGUGCUAGAUAUACAGUUUUACUAG